GAGAGGCUUGAUUGAGAACCUACCCGACUAUCAGAGGACCUGUCCGGGAAGAGAAAUGGGGCUACGUCCAGACAGAAUCUCGCUCUGUUGCCUGGGCUGGAGUGCAGUGGCACUGUAUCCGGAAUUGGGGGGUUCUUGGUCUCACUGACUUCAAGAAUGAAGCCAUGGACCCUUGCGGUAAGUGUUCCAGCUCUUAAGGUGGCGCGUCUGGAGUUUGUUUCUUCUGAUGUUCAGAGAUGGGGGUUCCACCAUGUUGGCCCGGCUGGUCUCGAACUGCUGACCUCAAGUGACCUGCCUGUCUCGGCCUCACAAAUGGCUGGGAUUACAGGCACGAGACACCGUGCCUGGCCCUGGGAACAUGUUUACAUGGACUUUGUUCACUUUUUAAAACAAACUGAGGGUAACUUACUAGAUCUGUGAACUAAAGAAAGAGAAAAAAAAGAAAGAAAACAAACAAGAACAAAGAACAA
rnacentral:lncRNA from 10 species